rnacentral:rRNA from 1 species
GACGAACGCUGGCGGCGUGGAUUAGGCAUGCAAGUCGGACGGUAGGGCUUUAUCGUAAGAUAGAGUUUGAGAGUGGCGAACGGGUGAGUAACACGUAGGAAUCUACCCUUAAGACGGGGACAACCCAGGGAAACUUGGGCUAAUACCGGAUGAGAGUGCGAGAGAUUGCAUUUAAAAGGAUGGCGAAAGUUGUCGCUUAGGGAUGAGCCUGCGGUCUAUUAGUUAGUUGGUGAGGUAAGAGCUCACCAAGGCGAUGAUAGAUAGGCGGCCUUAACGGGUGGUCGCCCACACUGGGAUUGAGAUACGGCCCAGACUCCUACGGGAGGCAGCAGUCGAGAAUAGUCUACAAUGGCCGGAAGGCUGAUAGUGCGACGCCGCGUGAACGAGGGAGCCCUUCGGGUGUAACUGCUUUUCUCAGGGAAGAAUUUGUGACGGUACCGAGGAAUAAGAGGUUGCUAACUCUGUG